rnacentral:rRNA from 1 species
GUCGAUGGCCAUACCAUCCAGAUCAUGCCCAACCUCAUCUGAUCUCAGAUGCUAAGCAGGGUCCGGCCUAGUCAGUACUUGAGUGAGACGACUUGUGAUUCUUAAUGGUUAGAAA